rnacentral:rRNA from 1 species
GACGAACGCUGGCGGCGUGCUUAACACAUGCAAGUCGUACGGUAAGGCCCUUUCGGGGGUACACGAGUGGCGAACGGGUGAGUAACACGUGAGUAACCUGCCCACAACUUUGGGAUAACGCUAGGAAACUGGUGCUAAUACUGGAUAUGUGCUACUGCUGCAUGGUGGGGGUUGGAAAGCUCCGGCGGUUGUGGAUGGACUCGCGGCCUAUCAGCUUGUUGGUGGGGUAGUGGCCUACCAAGGCGGCGACGGGUAGCCGGCCUGAGAGGGUGACCGGCCACAUUGGGACUGAGAGACGGCCCAGACUCCUACGGGAGGCAGCAGGGGGGAAGCUUGCACGAGGGGCGCAAGCCUGAUGCAGCAACGCCGCGGGCGGGAUGACGGCCUUCGGGUUGUAAACCGCUUUCAGCAGGGACGAAGCUUUUUGUGGCGGUACCUGCAGAAGAAGCACCGGCUAACUACGUG